rnacentral:rRNA from 1 species
AUGUUUCUCCCAGAUGGGGAGAAGUUUUAUACCUUUGGCUUAGCUGCUUUAUGCUGGGCGAUGUGGAAUAGCCGUAACAAAACCACCUUUGAGUUCCAAAAAAAGAGAUCCCCAUUUGAUGUGGUAUACUCUGCAUGUGGUUACCUCACUUAUUGGGUAGGGUUGCUGAUGGGAGAGGACCGGGAGGCAAUGGAGCAUGGAGCUAAGAUGUUGAGGAUCAACGCCUCGAACAUGACAAGAAUCUGUGCGGCACCAGGUGAAUCAAUGAAGAGCUGA